UGGCUCUUGCAUCGAUGAAGAACGCAGCGAAAUGCGAUAAGUAAUGUGAAUUGCAGAAUUCAGUGAAUCAUCGAAUCUUUGAACGCACCUUGCACCUCUUGGUAUUCCGAGAGGUACACCUGUUUGAGUGUCGUGAAUAACUCUACUUUAACAUUUUUUGUGUUAAAUUAGGAUUUGGGAACUUGUAGGUUUUUUGUAAUCUGCUUUCCUUAAAUAUAUUAGCAAAUAACAUUUGUGACUUAUAAAAGUGUGUGAUAGACUAUCUACACUUUAAAGUUGCCUAUUUGUAUAUUGCUUCUAAAACACAAUACAUAAUUUUGAACUUGACCUCAAAUCAGGUGGGACUACCCGCUGA
rnacentral:misc_RNA from 1 species